GCAGCUAUGCAGUGUGCCCAAGGAUUUGUUUUUGAGGCAAUGGCAGUGGUGAUAAACACAACCAAAGAAGACAGUAGAGAACAAGUGGACGGUAAGCUAUGAAGAACAAGUAUAUACCAUGAAGAGUUCAGAGUUUUUCUUUCUCGCACAUUGCGUACAUCUAGACUGGACUGGAAUUCAAUGAAACCCACAAUGUGGGAAAAUGAGCUGUUGCUACGGUUGUAUGUCACGACUUCCGCCAAAGUUGAACCCUCUCCUUGUUCGGGCGGCGUUCAGCAGUUGAAGUCGCCGACCUUCUAGCCAUCGCUGAUCCACUUUUCAUUUCCCAUUGGUUUUGUCUUGUCUUCCAUCACACCUGGUUCCAAUUCCAUCAAUUACAUGUUGUGUAUUUAACCCUCUGUUACCCCUCAUGUCCUUGUCGUUAAUUGUUUCUUGUAGUGCUUAUUCACGGUAUGCUGGUAUUUACCCGGGUUUUGUUGGACCCAUUUCUUGUAUUGUUCUGUUGACGGUGGU